AGUGUGAUAUAAUCUGUGUGAUUGUGAGCUGCUGUGUGUGUUCUGCAGUGGUGAACUGGCUGAACAGAGUGGUGGAUGUUGGUAAAGGUGUUGCUAACGGAGUCUGUCGAACAGUCAAGCUCAUCUAAACUCCACCCAGUGAAGGCGCCGCCAAACACCCGGUCUAGACCCAGAGCCCCGCCCACUGCUGAGACCAGCGCCAACAUCAUACACUCUGUUCACCAACACACACACACACACACACUACACAUAAACUACACACUACACAAACUACAAACGAAACACAUUUAAUAACUGUACUACUGUUCACCAACACACACUGACUACACACACACUACACAUAAACUACACACACACACUACACAUAACUGUACUGCUGUUCACCAACACACACUGACUACACACACACACACACACACACACAUAUACACACA